UACGGAGGGGGCUAGCGUUGUUCGGAAUUACUGGGCGUAAAGCGCACGUAGGCGGCUUUGUAAGUUAGAGGUGAAAGCCCGGGGCUCAACUCCGGAAUUGCCUUUAAGACUGCAUCGCUAGAAUUGUGGAGAGGUAAGUGGAAUUCCGAGUGUAGAGGUGAAAUUCGUAGAUAUUCGGAAGAACACCAGUGGCGAAGGCGGCUCACUGGACUGGUAUUGACGCGUGAGG
rnacentral:rRNA from 1 species